AUAGAUUCUACCACUACAUCGAGUGUGCUACGAUAUUUAUUCACUCAAGACUGUUAAAUUUUCAAAUUUAAAACAAAAGGCUCACUUUAGCGUUUUAAAUAUUUAAAAUUUAACUGUUGAGAGUGGAUAAAUAUCGUAUUACACAAGAUUUGGUGGUGGAAUCUGU
rnacentral:sRNA from 1 species